rnacentral:rRNA from 1 species
GAACGAAGCGCUUAAAUGGAUUUCUUCGGAUUGAAGUUUUUGUGACCGAGUGGCGGACGGGUGAGUAACGCGUGGGUAACCUGCCUCAUACAGGGGGAUAACAGUUAGAAAUGACUGCUAAUACCGCAUAAGCGCACAGUGCUGCAUGGCACAGUGUGAAAAACUCCGGUGGUAUGAGAUGGACCCGCGUCUGAUUAGCUAGUUGGUGGGGUAACGGCCUACCAAGGCGACGAUCAGUAGCCGGCCUGAGAGGGUGAACGGCCACAUUGGGACUGAGACACGGCCCAAACUCCUACGGGAGGCAGCAGUGGGGAAUAUUGCACAAUGGGGGAAACCCUGAUGCAGCGACGCCGCGUGAGCGAAGAAGUAUUUCGGUAUGUAAAGCUCUAUCAGCAGGGAAGAAAAUGACGGUACCUGACUAAGAAGCACCGGCUAAAUACGUGCCAGCGGCCGCGGUAAUACGUAUGGUGCAAGCGUUAUCCGGAUUUACUGGGUGUAAAGGGAGCGUAGACGGUUGUGUAAGUCUGAUGUGAAAGCCCGGGGCUCAACCCCGGGACUGCAUUGGAAACUAUGUAACUAGAGUGUCGGAGAGGUAAGCGGAAUUCCUAGUGUAGCGGUGAAAUGCGUAGAUAUUAGGAGGAACACCAGUGGCGAAGGCGGCUUACUGGACGAUCACUGACGUCGAGGCUCGAAAGCGUGGGGAGCAAAC